rnacentral:rRNA from 1 species
UACGUAGGAUCCAAGCGUUUGUCCGGAUUUACUGGGUGUAAAGGGUGCGCAGGCGGACUUAUAAGUCAGAGGUGAAAUCUCACUGCUCAACAGUGAAACUGCCUUUGAUACUGUAGGUCUUGAAUUAGGGAGAGAUUCGUGGAAUUCCGAGUGUAGCAGUGAAAUGUGUAGAUAUUCGGAAGAACACCAGAGGCGAAGGCAGCGAAUUGGCCCUAUAUUGACGCUCAGGCACGAAAGCAUGGGGAUCAAACAGG